GUCACCAGUGUUGUAGUGACAACCAGUGCCCUAGUUUCUCUCAGUCUGAGUCUGGAGGUUACAAGCUAAGACAUGUUUUCCCGUCUUCGCAAGCGUUUUGGGAGGGGGAAUGUCGAUUCUGGAGAGACUAGAGUGAAGGAGUCUGGCCUUUGUCUCAAAGUAAUGAUGGACAAAGACAGCACUUCUGGGGAUUGUUUAGUAAGUUCUGGGCAGUAUAUUUUGAGCUUCCUGUCAGGGUGGCUGCAGGCUUAAGGUGACCUUUCUAGCCAUGGGCCACAACAACUGGAGCAUCUGAAAAGGAAUUGAAUUUCCAUGAAUAUUACAAUUUCUUAAAAUCAAGGAUUUCAGAAUUUUAGUUUCCCAUCCCCACUGGGAGGAUAUGACGCUGGGAGAGAAACAUCAUCCCCUGGAACUGAGCUAAGCAAGAAGCAGGCCAAGAAGUAAAAUAAGAGGUGGAUUUAAGAGCUGCAGCUCAUUACAGAGGAGCGAAACGACCUGAGAGAUCGCCUGAUGUUUGUGACAGAGAGAUCCAUGAAGAACAGGUAUGAAUCGCUCCAAACGCUCUUGUUCCAUUCCUGGGUGUUCAAUGUCACCUUCAUCUUAUCCUUUUAAGGUUUUGGGUUCUAGAAAGCUGUGUCUCUGUAACGACCCCUUUUUAAACCUCACCUCCCAUAUAGAGGAGAUUCAGAACCUGACCCUUCCUGAGGAGCGAGAUGGAAAAUGGACUCAUCUGCUUCCAUUUAUUGAAAAGCAGAACUUGUGGUCUGAAUGAAGAAUUCGGGGAUAAAGUCAGGGAGAGUGAGUGUCUAGUGUGCAUUUGCAAAGCCCUUGACAGAUGGUGGCUUUGCAAGAUUGUAAUUGCAGUGAGUUUAUGGUGAGUCUCUGUACGUGCUAGGCAGGGGACUGAGUGCUGGAAGAUCCAGGCAGCAGCCUGAGGGGCCUGGUCCCAAACUGUUCAUCUCAAUGCUUGACUAGAAGGUCUCAGGCUCAGGCCUGUUUGUUAUUGUCUGUGUGUCUUGCCCUCUGAGACAGCAAUGGUGCAUGCAAUUUCUCCUGGUUGUCACAGUGCUGUCUGUUUCCAUAUUUCUCUUUCUCUUUCUCUGACUCUGUUUACAUUUCUCUUAUUUGUGGCUGUGUCUCAGUCUGUGUAUGUUCAUGUGCACACAUCCAAAUGCAUAUGUACAACAUUUAUAUGUUUAUAUUUCCCUCCAAAUUUGAGUCUACGGGUCUAUGUCUUGGCCUGAGUAUUUACCCAUGCUACACUUUCAUGGAGAUGUGAGUGCUUUGUUCUGGGAGCCCCACUGUCAACAGCACAAUUAUUUGACUGUGUGGUCACAUUUGUCUGUAAAGUUGUAUCCAUUGGGCAGAUUAUUAUUUUGUGGCCAGAUGUGAUCUCUACUCCAUAAUUAUGUGUAAUGCCUGUCUCUACACUAUUAGUUAUUCAGAAUGAAUAAUUCUUGUUGUCAAAGCAGGAAAAAUCAAAUCACAUUUUCUGGGUGUGUAGGGGAGUGCCCAGAAGAGCUGUGGCUGAGGCUUUUGAUAACAUAACUGUCUUGGCUCCAGGUCCAGUCUUCUGUAUUGAACAAUGGGAGCCAGGAAACCCUCCAUCUGGAUGCUGAGCUUCCGGUGUCCUGGCCCCAGAAUAACGUUUCUGAAGCUGAAGAAGAUCCCAAUAUAUAGAAUUCAGAAGGUGUCCUUCCAGGGCUGGGGUAGUACAGGACCCACCCUGAGUUCAUAUAUUCCUAAAUGCUGAUGUUCAUUGGAUUCUAUCAUUUGGGGCCAGGCCACACUUCAGGCCAAAUCCAUAUUAUGAAGACCUGGAGAGAAUGGAGGAGGCGGUCAUGUCAAUUCUGCACAACUUAGAGAUGGAGAACACUGAGAUCCAUGAGAACAGCCAUAAGCUGAAGAAGGAGAUUACCUUCUCUACGUAAGUCCUGGUCAGAAAGGCUAUCACCUGUGGAAUGGCCAUUUCUGAUUUCUUUGUUCUGGAUUGGACGGUCUUCAGCUAUGAGUCUAUCUCUUGUGCUGUUUACACAUCAGUGUGCCAGGGUCAUUAGGACUCAGCUUUCAGUUCCACAAAAGAGUGUGCCUCAUCCCAGGAUUGUCUAGGCAUCUUCAUAAGGCUCUAGAUAGAACAGCACUGAUUGAAGUCAGCAGAAGGUUAUUAGGCUGAACGGGGCCUCUGGUGUCAUACCAGGUUUUACAAAACUCAGUGUGUGGACCACAUGGUUAGAAUGACCUUCUCUUGGUUCUACUGACCUCCUUUGAGGGUGUUUGCCCACUCCUAAUUGAUGUUGCCCCCAUGCAUUGGGCUUUCAUGGAUAGUUGUAGAUCCAUGUUCUUUUUGAGAGAUUUGGACCCUAUUGAUGCUUGGGCCAUUAAAAAAAUUUCUUCUUCCCUGAAUUGGCUGUUUACUGUUUCUGCAGCAGCCUUAUAUGUAUCAAGAUGUAUUCUACGUCUUCAUGGGUAUAUGGGUUCUAGGGUUGUUAGUGGAACUUGGAAGUAGGAAUGGGAGAAAGGGGCAGCAAGAUCUUACUAUGCAGAAUGUAUUUCCAGUAACCUGCUCAGCCGCUCCUGAUGGAGAACACAUGUAUGAAGAACUUCGUCACAUCUAUGCAGGAGAGCAAGGUGGUACAGAUUGAUUGUGCACUGAUACAGAAAUAUUUGAUUGAAUUGAACAAGAAUGAUAAAUAUGAAUAGGAGAUGACCAGAAACCGCCAGACCCCAGCAAUAUCUGGUAGGAAUAAGCAGCUGUGUGAGCUUAACAAUAUCUGAUACCAUUUUCCAAUUUCAUACAUCUUUGCUUUCCCCUACAAUCUUUCUAAUUUACACUCCCAACGAGCCAACCAUGGCCUGUAAUGGAAUUGUUCAUUGCUCUGUCUAUGUACAAGUAUUCUGGGAAGUUAACCACUUUUCAGAAACUGAACUAUUGGCAAGUAUAUUUUGCUUCUCUUUUUGAAGCUGCAGUCCACAAAUGGUGACAGAUGAAUAACAUAUCAUAUUAUGGCAUGACUGUGUGAUAUGCUAUGUAGAGUUUUGAACAAGGUCUUGGUCCUGUGACAAAUGACAUUUUGUGGUCAUGUGACCUCCUAGGUAGGAAGCACCUUUGUGGGAUAAGAACCAAUUGCAAAUGUUGAAUUCAUCCUUGUCAUUGACUUUUAUCUUGGUGACAUAUGGACAUCUCCUUUCUUCCUGCAACCCAAUGAGGUCUCUUCCCAUUGCCCUGUUCUUGGUUUGCACUGGUAUAAGUCUGGGUCCCAGAUUGGCAGCCCACAUCACUGUGAGGCUUGCUGGAGAUUUUCCCUGCCCGCAGAGUUAACAACAAUGAUAUUAGCUAAAAGGUCCAGGUCGACUGUCCAAUAGAACUGAGGUGGUAGAAGGCAGCAUUCUGACAGCUGGCUAGCAUUUCCCCACCAAAUCAGUGUCUGAAAAACUGCCUUCCUCUCCCAGGUCUCAGAAAGUGCAAGACUGCUGGAAUUGGACACGGACCAGGAAGAGGACUCCUGAAGAAUAAGUUGCUUUCUCAGGAGUCCCCUGCUGACAAACAUCCUGACUAUUAACAACAUGUUUUGGAUGAAUAUUCUUCCUCAUAGUUAAUUUGUCAUUGCUUAGAGACCCUAAAUUUAUAUAUCACUAAGCCAGCCUGACUGAUUGAGGUCUUACUCACUUUCCUCUUUAGAAAUCACCACUUGAGAGACAACUUGGGGGACCGCCUUUCAUUAUGUAUGCUAGAGGAGAAAGAGCAAUACAUCUGUGCUUCUAAAUGUUUGUUAAGAAUAUGAUGUUUAGAAAUAUUUUGUUAUGAUUUUCAUUGAAGUUUUCUAUUUGUUGUUUCAUAGUUAUAUGCUCUUGUUAUUAUUUUUCAUUUUUAAAAUACUUUUAAAUAUUUAUAUUAAUUCAUUUUAAUCCUGUUUUGUUGUAAAUUGUAUUUCUUAUCAAUAAAAAUUGAUUUUAAUCUCUUGACUC